GCCGGAGCCCCGCCCCUCCGAAGCCCCGCCCAGGGCCGCGCUUGCCGCGCCCGACCGCCCCGUCCGCCCCGAGCCGGGCGAGGCCGGGCGUUUGUCGUUCUCCGGCACUUUUGAACGGGAGACCGCGGCGGCUGGGAGACGCUGGGGGAGGGGAGGGGACGUGCGGCUCCGUCGCUGCGGCGCGCGCGGUGCAGCGUUCUUCCGCCCUGCGGUGGGGACGCAGGGCACGUGGUGGGAAGGGGGCUGUCGCGUUAGGCGCAGGGCCUGCCCCGGGCUGGUGAAAGAUGUUAGCAAAGGAUCCGGCCGCUCGGGGCGGGGUUGGAGGGCGAAAGUAUUUCUGCGCUGCUGGACAGGACUUUGACAGUGAAAAUGGAAGUAUUUGUAAAUUUGAAACCAUAAAUCGGGGAAUGUGCGGUGAACCAUGGAAGGGUUCCGGAAUGUUUGGCAACCAGCAGAAGACUGGAAAUUAUAAGAAGGGGCCAUGCAAGGAGUUGGCCCCGAAGCCAGAGGAGAGCAGCUGAAAGCAGAAAAGAGCAGGUGGAAUAAGCAGCGAAUUGCCACCUUGGCCCUUGGAGACCAGCGACUGAGCUUCAAGCUGGUCACCUCACCCCCUCCUGGUGGGUGACAGGGUCCCUAGACACUCGUUCUUUUCUCUCUCUGCCCUGCUGGCGUUGUUUUGAGAGGUGAACUUCCAGAAGGGGCAGGAUAUUUUGCAAAGAGGGAGGGUAUGUGCCCACCCUGACUUCCUGAGGAACUUAACCAGGUCCCUCCCCUCCGCUUCUGGCUGGCCUGCGACAGGUGCAGUCGCUGAUGUGUCCAUGGAAGGCCUGGGGAGGGAACAAACAAGCACACUUCCUGGAUGUCUGGCCUAGUGCACAGGGUGAUGCACUAGGCUAGACACAUCUGCAGCGGAAGAAGACCAGGUGGGUGGGAAAGAAGGGAGAGAAUGAAAGAUUCUGUUGGUGGCACAUUGAAUCGAGGUGCCGGCGGUCAUGCAAGUGGAGAGAUCAAACGAGCAAUUGGACAUUUGAGUUUGGAGCUUGUAUUAGUGGACUGAGCUCCCGUCAUGGCUCAGCCGGUUGAGAACCCGACAUAGUGUCCCUGAGGAUGUGGGUUCGAUCCUUGGCCUCGCUCAGUGAGUUAAGCAUCCUGUGUUGCCACAAGCUGCAGUGUAGGUCCCAGAUGCAGCUUGGAUCCAGUGUUGCUGUGGCUGUGGUGUAGGCCAGUAGCUGCAGCUCCAAUUUGUCCCCUAGCCUGGGAACUUCCAUAUGUUGCAGGUGAGGAGGGAGAGAGGAAGGAAAGGAGGAGGGAAGGAGGGAAGGAAGGAAGAAGGAAGGAAGGAAGACUAUAGAGCUGGUAUGGUUGUUGGGGCCAAAUCUUUUUUCAAGUGUCUGAUAGCCAUUUGUUGUUCUUAUGUUGUACAUUGUCUAUUUGUAUCCUUGUAUCCUUUACCUAUGUAUCUAUUAAGUCUCUGACAAUUAUUGUUAAAAUUCGUGUAAGUUUAAUACAAUUGAAAAUGUGUAACAAAACAGCCAAGUCAACUAAUCCUCACAAUACAUUUGAUGGUUUUUUCAUUUAAAAUCUUUAUUUAAAGAAAAAGAAUAUAUGGAGUUUCUGUCAUGGCUUAGCAGGUUAAGAACCCUGAUAAAGUGUUCUUGAGGAUGUGGGUUUGAUCCCUGGCCAUGGCUCAGUGGGUUAAGGAUCCGGCGUUGCUGCAAGCUGUGAUGUAGGCUGGCAGCUGCAGCUCUGUUUCAAUGCCUAGCCUGGGAACUUCCAUGUGCCACAGGUGCAGCCUUAAAAAGGAAAAAAGAAAAAAGGAAAAGAAUAAUAAUCGUAAAUGGAAAAAAAAAGUGGGGAAGUGAGAAUUCUUUUGUAAAACUUUGAAGGGGAAAAUUGAAUCUUUUUUAAAAAAGAUAGUGAAAUGAGGAUUGAUUCUUUUAAUAUAUUUAAACUCUUUAACCUACACUUCCAAAUUCUGAUAAUUUAGCUAAAGGAAGUAAAAAUAAAUAUACAGAGAAAAAAAUCUUCA
rnacentral:lncRNA from 1 species